rnacentral:lncRNA from 1 species
CGCAAACUCUACCAUCACAGGUGCGCUACAACACACCGCUAAAACACAGCCUCUUGCAAGGUGCUCACUUGAAUAAAGGGGUGAUAUUGAGCGCAACAACCUGAAAACACUGGGAAGAAGAGAAACCUGGGAGAAAAAGAAACGUUUUUUUCAAGAUGUUACAUAAUUUGAAGAAAACAUAAUUAUGGCAAGUCAUAUCUUGCAGAAAAACUAAAGACUUUAAUCUCAAUAGAAGACAGGUUAAAUAUUUAAAAAGGUUUAAUGUUCUCUUACGUAGAAAAUACUCCUGAUUGUAUAGGACUAGACUAUAUCCAAAGCAACUAAUAACACACCGAAUUCAUACAUUUUCAGUCAUUUAAAUUGUAAAUUCAUGUCUUUCUACACAAUAACACAAUAUAUUUUUCCAAUCUGGGAAGUAAACAUGAUAAAGUAUUCAAUAAUUUUGCUGUGUAUUUCGGCUAUACUCUGUACUUGUGGAAAACAUUGCAUUUCUCUUUGCAUUUACUUCUCUUGACAAAUCUUAUGUAGGACAGCUUUGAGAGACAUAUAUUACUGCAAUGUAGUCACAAUGUGUGCAUUAUGUAUAAGUAUAUGAUUUAUGGCCACAUUCAACACAAUUUAGAGGUAAACAUUAUUUUGCCCAUUUUAUUAUAUAAUUUACUAAAUGACAAUACCUAAUUAAGUAGUGGAAAGAAAGUUUCCCUGAAAUGCAUUUUGCAUAAUAUUUGUGGCUGCUACAGUUGUUGUCGUACAUGCCAUAAUUUCGAUUUCAGAAGGGUCUGGGUAACUGGAAUGUGUUGAGAUAAUAUAUUGACAUCUUUCCUUGCUUUGCUUUUUUUAAAGAAUUUGAGAUAAUAUCUUUAAUCAGUUAUACAAAACACAGAUCAUUUCAGAUGGAGUGAAUAUGCAUUGAAAAUCCCACAAACCACUAACUUUGCACCCGUGUUGUAUGACCUGAACUGUAAGUAACUGUUAACUAAGGUUGAUGGGAUCCAUUCUCUCAUGUUGUUUAAUGACUAAGACCUUUUCACUUUCUUGUUGGAAAUGUACUGUGUAUUGUAAAUGUAUUAUACUUUAUAUUGAUUAUUUAAAGUUAAGUGGCCAUGCAUUAAUAUGUAACAUAUAUUUUUUCUUGUAUAUUGAAAGUGAAUUAUUG